GACGAACGCUGGCGGCGUGCUUAACACAUGCAAGUCGAACGGAAAGGCCCUGCUUUUGUGGGGUGCUCGAGUGGCGAACGGGUGAGUAACACGUGAGUAACCUGGCCUUGACUUUGGGAUAACUUCAGGAAACUGGGGCUAAUACCGGAUAGGAGCUCCUGCUGCAUGGUGGGGGUUGGAAAGUUUCGGCGGUUGGGGAUGGACUCGCGGCUUAUCAGCUUGUUGGUGGGGUAGUGGCUUACCAAGGCUUUGACGGGUAGCCGGCCUGAGAGGGUGACCGGCCACAUUGGGACUGAGAUACGGCCCAGACUCCUACAGGAGGCAGCAGUGGGGAAUAUUGCACAAUGGGCGGAAGCCUGAUGCAGCAACGCCGCGUGCGGGAUGACGGCCUUCGGGUUGUAAACCGCUUUCGCCUGUGACGAAGCGUGAGUGACGGUAAUGGGUAAAGAAGCACCGGCUAACUACGUG
rnacentral:rRNA from 1 species